rnacentral:rRNA from 1 species
UACGUAGGGGGCGAGCGUUGUCCGGAUUUAUUGGGCGUAAAGAGCGUGUAGGCGGCCACGCAGGUCCGUUGUGAAAACUGGAGGCUCAACCUUCAGACGUCGACGGAAACCGUGUGGCUAGAGUCCGGAAGAGGAGAGUGGAAUUCCUGGUGUAGCGGUGAAAUGCGCAGAUAUCAGGAAGAACACCAAUGGAGAAGGCAGCUCUCUGGGACGGUACUGACGCUGAGACGCGAAAGCGUGGGGAGCGAACAGG